rnacentral:rRNA from 1 species
GGAGGCAGCAGUAGGGAAUAUUGGACAAUGGGGGAAACCCUGAUCCAGCAAUGCCGCGUGAAUGAAGAAGGCCUUCGGGUUGUAAAGUUCUUUCGCUUACGAUGAUAAUGACAGUAGUAAGAUAAGAAGGUCCGGCUAACUCUGUGCCAGCAGCCGCGGUAAGACGAGGGAUCCUAGC